rnacentral:rRNA from 1 species
GACGAACGCUGGCGGCGUGCUUAACACAUGCAAGUCGAACGGAAAGGCCCUGCUUUUGUGGGGUGCUCGAGUGGCGAACGGGUGAGUAACACGUGAGUAACCUGCCCUUGACUUUGGGAUAACUUCAGGAAACUGGGGCUAAUACCGGAUAGGAUCUCCUGCUGCAUGGUGGGGGUUGGAAAGUUUCGGCGGUUGGGGAUGGACUCGCGGCUUAUCAGCUUGUUGGUGGGGUAGUGGCUUACCAAGGCUUUGACGGGUAGCCGGCCUGGGAGGGUGACCGGCCACAUUGGGACUGCGAUACGGCCCAGACUCCUACGGGAGGCAGCAGUGGGGAAUAUUGCACAAUGGGCGGAAGCCUGAUGCAGCAACGCCGCGUGCGGGAUGACGGCCUUCGGGUUGUAAACCGCUUUCGCCUGUGACGAAGCGUGAGUGACGGUAAUGGGUAAAGAAGCACCGGCUAACUACGUG